UUUGAAUGGAGAGUUCGAUCCUGGCUCAGGAUGAACGCUGGCGGCGCGCCUAACACAUGCAAGUCGAACGAUUAAAGCACCUUCGGGUGUGUAUAAAGUGGCGAACGGCUGAGUAACACGUGGGCAACCUGCCCCUCUCAUUGGGAUAGCCACGGGAA
rnacentral:rRNA from 1 species